UUGUAUGUAGCUCAGUGGUAGAGCGCUUGCCUAGCGUGUAUGAGGCACUGGGUUCCAUUCUAACCACCACAUAUAAA
rnacentral:tRNA from 1 species